rnacentral:rRNA from 1 species
CCUACGGGAGGCAGCAGUGAGGAAUAUUGGUCAAUGGACGAGAGUCUGAACCAGCCAAGUAGCGUGAAGGAUGACUGCCCUAUGGGUUGUAAACUUCUUUUAUAUGGGAAUAAAAUGUUCCACGUGUGGGACUUUGUAUGUACCAUAUGAAUAAGGAUCGGCUAACUCCGCGCCAGCAGCCGCGGUAAUACGGAGGAUCCGAGCGUUAUCUGGAUUUAUUGGGUUUAAAGGGAGCGUAGGUGGAUUGUUAAGUCAGUUGUGAAAGUUUGCGGCUCAACCGUAAAAUUGCAGUUGAAACUGGCAGUCUUGAGUACAGUAGAGGUGGGCGGAAUUCGUGGUGUAGCGGUGAAAUGCUUAGAUAUCACGAAGAACUCCGAUUGCGAAGGCAGCUCACUGGACUGCAACUGACACUGAGGCUCGAAAGUGUGGGUAUCAAACAGGAUUAGAUACCCUAGUAGUC